GCGCCCACUUCCCGCUCCAAGUUCAGAAACACAAUUUUAUCCUUUUCUGCAUUCGAGCGUAUCAGAAUUCAGAAACACCAACCUUCAUUCUCCUCUGCUGGCAUCACAGUUGCACCGCUGUCACUCCGUUUGCUCGUGCUGCCACUGUCGCUCCUCAGGUAUCCUCUUCAAUUUCAUUUGGAAAUUCCUAAAUUCCCUUUGAUCCUCUCCACGCUGAUGACCCCUCUGCUCUUCAGAUCCAUGUGCCAGAAGGUUGUGAUCUUGUUGCUGUUGGAGCACUUGCUGUGGCAUUUGGCACUUCUCAUGUAGCACUUGUGCAUAGAGCUAAUUUAACCUCUGGUCAGGUGUUGGUGGUUUUUGGUGCAGCAGAAGGUGUAGGGCUUACAGCUGUUCAAAUUGGAAAGCGUGUGGUGCCAUUGUCAUUGCUGUUACUAGGGGAGCUGAAAAGGUGCAGAUUUUGAAGACUCUUGGUGUUGAUCAUGUCAUCCCUGCUAACAUAGCUCUUGUUAAGUUGGUGCUGGUCUUUUGAAAAUUGAGGAGAUUUUGGAAAGGGAGAGAAGGCUGUGGAUCUCGAAUGACAUUGAAUUUGAGGAGCAGAAUUUUAUUGCCUUGAUGAAUUAAGCAAGAGAGGAUAUGGUUGGUAGAGAUGGAGAUCGCGGCCAUGGCUAAGGUCGAGGUCGAAAGGGGAGGCAUAGGCUUUCUACCGGCCACCUCCUUGACUGCUCCGACUCGGAUGAUUAUUUAGACGAGUAUGACUAGGUUAUUUAAUUACGUUACUUUGAAUAUUAGGUAUUAUUAGUGGAUUGCAAUUUAAACGAAUAUAAGUCUAAGUUUAUUUAUUUAUCUUGUUUUGAGUCUUUAUGUUAGAGCAUUAUUUAUUACUUUGACAAGUUUGUAAACUCAUUAUCUAAUAUUUAAUAUAAAUUUAUUUUUAUAUUUA